UUGAAGAGUUUGAUCAUGGCUCAGAUUGAACGCUGGCGGCAGGCCUAACACAUGCAAGUCGAACGGUAGCACAGAGAGCUUGCUCUCGGGUGACGAGUGGCGGACGGGUGAGUAAUGUCUGGGAAACUGCCUGAUGGAGGGGGAUAACUACUGGAAACGGUAGCUAAUACCGCAUAACGUCGCAAGACCAAAGAGGGGGACCUUCGGGCCUCUUGCCAUCAGAUGUGCCCAGAUGGGAUUAGCUAGUAGGUGGGGUAACGGCUCACCUAGGCGACGAUCCCUAGCUGGUCUGAGAGGAUGACCAGCCACACUGGAACUGAGACACGGUCCAGACUCCUACGGGAGGCAGCAGUGGGGAAUAUUGCACAAUGGGCGCAAGCCUGAUGCAGCCAUGCCGCGUGUAUGAAGAAGGCCUUCGGGUUGUAAAGUACUUUCAGCGGGGAGGAAGGUGUUGUGGUUAAUAACCACAGCAAUUGACGUUACCCGCAGAAGAAGCACCGGCUAACUCCGUGCCAGCAGCCGCGGUAAUACGGAGGGUGCAAGCGUUAAUCGGAAUUACUGGGCGUAAAGCGCACGCAGGCGGUCUGUCAAGUCGGAUGUGAAAUCCCCGGGCUCAACCUGGGAACUGCAUUCGAAACUGGCAGGCUAGAGUCUUGUAGAGGGGGUAGAAUUCCAGGUGUAGCGGUGAAAUGCGUAGAGAUCUGGAGGAAUACCGGUGGCGAAGGCGGCCCCCUGGACAAAGACUGACGCUCAGGUGCGAAAGCGUGGGGAGCAAACAGGAUUAGAUACCCUGGUAGUCCACGCCGUAAACGAUGUCGACUUGGAGGUUGUGCCCUUGAGGCGUGGCUUCCGGAGCUAACGCGUUAAGUCGACCGCCUGGGGAGUACGGCCGCAAGGUUAAAACUCAAAUGAAUUGACGGGGGCCCGCACAAGCGGUGGAGCAUGUGGUUUAAUUCGAUGCAACGCGAAGAACCUUACCUACUCUUGACAUCCAGAGAACUUUCCAGAGAUGGAUUGGUGCCUUCGGGAACUCUGAGACAGGUGCUGCAUGGCUGUCGUCAGCUCGUGUUGUGAAAUGUUGGGUUAAGUCCCGCAACGAGCGCAACCCUUAUCCUUUGUUGCCAGCGGUCCGGCCGGGAACUCAAAGGAGACUGCCAGUGAUAAACUGGAGGAAGGUGGGGAUGACGUCAAGUCAUCAUGGCCCUUACGAGUAGGGCUACACACGUGCUACAAUGGCGCAUACAAAGAGAAGCGACCUCGCGAGAGCAAGCGGACCUCAUAAAGUGCGUCGUAGUCCGGAUUGGAGUCUGCAACUCGACUCCAUGAAGUCGGAAUCGCUAGUAAUCGUAGAUCAGAAUGCUACGGUGAAUACGUUCCCGGGCCUUGUACACACCGCCCGUCACACCAUGGGAGUGGGUUGCAAAAGAAGUAGGUAGCUUAACCUUCGGGAGGGCGCUUACCACUUUGUGAUUCAUGACUGGGGUGAAGUCGUAACAAGGUAACCGUAGGGGAACCUGCGGUUGGAUCACCUCCUU
rnacentral:rRNA from 1 species